UACGUAGGGUGCGAGCGUUAAUCGGAAUUACUGGGCGUAAAGCGUGCGCAGGCGGUUUUUCAAGACCGAUGUGAAAUCCCCGGGCUUAACCUGGGAAUGGCAUUGGUGACUGGAAGGCUAGAGUGUGUCAGAGGGGGGUAGAAUUCCACGUGUAGCAGUGAAAUGCGUAGAGAUGUGGAGGAAUACCGAUGGCGAAGGCAGCCCCCUGGGAUAACACUGACGCUCAUGCACGAAAGCGUGGGGGAGCAAACAGG
rnacentral:rRNA from 1 species